rnacentral:sRNA from 1 species
UACCCAGUUUCGGGGACCUUGGUACAGGCAGGCCGAGAAUCCCCUCUUUACACCCGGGGUGCUUGAUGCGGAUCGCGUCGCGCCCCACACCCGUUUCGGGAACCUCGGUACAGGCAGGCCGGGGAUUCCCUCUUUAAUACCGAAGCC